GCCAGGGUAGCUCAAUGGCAGAGCAGGGCAUUUGUAAUGCUCAGGUUGGAGGUUCAAGUCCUCUCCCUGGCU
rnacentral:tRNA from 7 species